rnacentral:rRNA from 1 species
UACGUAGGGCGCAAGCGUUAUCCGGAAUUAUUGGGCGUAAAGAGCUCGUAGGCGGUUUGUCGCGUCUGCCGUGAAAGUCCGGGGCUCAACUCCGGAUCUGCGGUGGGUACGGGCAGACUAGAGUGAUGUGGGGGAGACUGGAAUUCCUGGUGUAGCGGUGAAAUGCGCAGAUAUCAGGAGGAACACCGAUGGCGAAGGCAGGUCUCUGGGCAUUAACUGACGCUGAGGAGCGAAAGCAUGGGGAGCGAACAGG